UGGGGAAUAUUGCACAAUGGGCGCAAGCCUGAUGCAGCAACGCCGCGUGAACGAUGAAGGUCUUCGGAUCGUAAAGUUCUGUUGCAGGGGAAGAUAAUGACGGUACCCUGUGAGGAAGCCCCGGCUAACUACGUGCCAGCAGCCGCGGUAAUACGUAGGGGGCUAGCGUUAUCCGGAUUUACUGGGCGUAAAGGGUGCGUAGGUGGUCCUUCAAGUCGGUGGUUAAAGGCUACGGCUCAACCGUAGUAAGCCGCCGAAACUGGAGGACUUGAGUGCAGGAGAGGAAAGUGGAAUUCCCAGUGUAGCGGUGAAAUGCGUAGAUAUUAGGAGGAAUACCGGUGGCGAAGGCGACUUGCUGGACUUCAACUGACGCUGAGGAACGAAAGCGUGGGUAGCAAACAGG
rnacentral:rRNA from 1 species